UAACUCUAGGUGUGAUCUUUUCGUUCCACCAGGUAUCAAAGGAUUCCAGGCUGACAGAUUUAUGGGCUUUCUUAAGCAGAAGAGCUGUGCUUCCAAGGGGGUCAGACAGAUUCCUUCUCUUUUGAUGACGGCCUGGUGGAGCCAUAGUGAUUGGCACAUCACUCAGAGAGGUCCCGUGCUCUGGACGAGUCUGAAAACAGGAGAGACCGCAAAUAAAAUCUUGUCAUCCUGGGCAGCUCUGCAUUGCUUUAUCUGAGCCUGAGAAACGGUUCUGAACGUGAGUGGUCAGAAUCAAGUCGUGUUCUCGCCCGUCAUCACACUUGGCACGUUGGCUUUCCGGACAUACCCAGUGGACACUGUGCAGACAUUCUCCAGGUAAUCUCAGGAAGACUGGAGACUUUAGAAGGCCACUCUUUAUAUUUAGGGAAAUAUUCCUUCGGAAUAGGGAUCACGUCCGACUGGCUUGGGGAAGAUGCCAACACCUUAGGAAGAAGGUGAAGUGAAAGCAGGAGUGCCCAGGGCUCCACCCUUCUCGGUCCUCGGCGUCCUGUGUCAUGCAGGGUUGGGUGGGCUUCUGUGAGUCUUUCCAAAGCUCCUGGCCAGAUAAAGUGCAAGUCCCUGGUGAGAAAUCUGAGUAGACAGCGAGCAAAUUGUCUGAGGACACUCAACGAGAAUCAAGUCAGCUAACCACCCACCUUGAUCUGCAUCUGUUCCAAAUCCAGACUUUCAACCAUCAUCAGAAGGAUUUUUCUGUCCCACCUGCCAGCUCCCAAAUGAGACUUAUUAUUAAUUAUAAAAGAUCGGCUGAUAGCUUAGGCUUAUUACUAACUAGCUCUUACAUCUUAAACUAACCCAUUUUAACAGUCUACUUUUAGUCUCAUGGCUUUAUUACCUUAUUCUGUUCUACCCAUACUACCUUGUCUUCUUCUGGUUGGUGACUCUACACUUCUUCCCAGUGUCCUCUAUGCCUGAAAAUCCCCCUUAGCUAUCGACCAGCUUUUUAUUAAACCAAACAGAGUGACACAUCUUUAAACAGUGUAAUCAUAUUUCUUAAAACACCAGACUUGUUCCUGUCCACAGCCUUUCUCCGCCUUAACCCACCUUCUUCAUUAUCUCGUUAUCUUUGCCUUCUUUACUCCUCUCAGUACACUUUCUCCAUGGCACACUUCCCAAAUCCAGCAUCAUAAACGACUGGGACUGCACUGGACGGUCAACACGGGACCUGGUCGCUUGCCUCCAUCUAAUUCAGUGUCUAAGAAUUACAUUAGUGAUAAUGCCGUUUUCACGAAAUCACACGUCUGCAGUGGCCUUAAAUACAUCAUGUCAUAAUUAAUAAUUCUUUUGUUUCCAGCUUAAUAAAGCCACCUUAAGAUUUA